AGGAAGAAACUCCUCCUGGACCUCGACUCUGGGAGGAGCCCCAGCGCCUGGACCCCCAGAAGACUCAGGAUGACCAGGAGGAGCCCAGGGGUAUCAGAAUAAGGAGGAAGAGGAGCCCAGUGGUGCCACAACAAUGAAGGGGAGCCCAGGGGUGUCAGAACCCCCAAACAAGGUGAGGAAGGGGGAGAGAGAGCCUGUGGACAACAUGCCUGUGUUUCUCCAGGACGGGUUACCAGAACAGCAGCUCUGGACCAGAGCAGUCAGGACUCUGUGGAGCACAGGCUGCCUUCAGGCAUGUUUAUUCCCAACAGGAGCCAGGUCAGACCCUGUACCACGCAGGAGAGGGCACACUCGACCGGUCAGCACAGGAGGGGACAGGGUACCCCAUCAGCACUGAAGGACACGAGGCGCCAGGCAGGUGAGUGCAGACCAGGUGAGUCUCUCCUUCACUGGCUGUCCCUCGCAGGCGACGCUGGUCUUGCAUGAUCGGGGCUGAUCGGACCAAUCUGGGAUCCACAGACUCUGAGGGGACAGAGUAGGAGUCGUCUCGGGGAGACAUCCAGGGUGUCCCGAUCUCCUGCCUGCUGGAGCCUGUGAGGAUGACUGACGAAGAGCUGCAGAUCCUAGUCAGUGUGCUGUUGACCCUACACUCUCGUACCCGAGUCCAACACCAACCUCCAGCCUGAGCACAAGGUCAGGUGAGCGCUGGGCUGAACACGGAUGACGAGGCACAGAGAGACUGCAGAGCCAGACUGCUGCCCUCAGACACACGGACCAGCUGUCACAACUGUCCAGCCUA